rnacentral:lncRNA from 1 species
UUCUAUGAAGGGCAAACAGGCUACUAACGUUGAACCAAGGACCACUGAAGGUCUUAAAGGGAAAACAAUCGAGGCUACUGAGGGCCUAAGAAAGAAGUUCGAAGCAAUUUCAAUCACGGAUGACGCUAGUCUGGGCGUUAACAUGGUAUACCUGAAGCAAAUUCCCUCAGAAAUGGAGGAAGUGGAGGAAUGUUUGAAGAUGGAGCAGGAAGGGAUGAGGUUUGGCUAUCCCAAAG